AACGAACGCUGGCGGCAUGCCUAACACAUGCAAGUCGAACGAGGCCCUUCGGGGUUUCGUGGCGCACGGGUGCGUAACGCGUGGGAAUCUGCCCUUUGGUUCGGAAUAACAGCUGGAAACGGCUGCUAAUACCGGAUGAUGACGAGAGUCCAAAGAUUUAUCGCCAGAGGAUGAGCCCGCGUUGGAUUAGGUAGUUGGUGGGGUAAAGGCCUACCAAGCCGACGAUCCAUAGCUGGUCUGAGAGGAUGAUCAGCCACACUGGGACUGAGACACGGCCCAGACUCCUACGGGAGGCAGCAGUGGGGAAUAUUGGACAAUGGGCGCAAGCCUGAUCCAGCAAUGCCGCGUGAGUGAUGAAGGCCCUAGGGUUGUAAAGCUCUUUUACCCGGGAAGAUAAUGACUGUACCGGGAGAAUAAGCCCCGGCUAACUCCGUG
rnacentral:rRNA from 1 species